UGGAAUGCAAACUCUAAAAGGUUUAAGAUUUCUUUCGGAGACUGAGUGAAGGGUACAUGGGAAAAGGAGGGCAAAAUACUGUCUAAGAACUCACCUCCCACAAGUCCAAACCGAUCAGGGGCUGCAGAAUCAAAGAGAUACCAAAUGAACAUGCAAGUACUUGUAAUCAAGAAAAUGUAAUUUCUAAGGUAGUAUUACAAGUUGUUGAACAUUAAGAAAAAGAAUCCUCACGAUGUCAUUCCACACAAGAG
rnacentral:lncRNA from 1 species